rnacentral:rRNA from 1 species
GAGCUACUGAUUGGGGAUAGGGGGCCACCAGCCUACCUACCUCUACCAAACUCCGAAUACCAACAGGCUUAUCGCGGGAGUCAGUCUGCGGGGGAUAACCUUCGUGGUCCAGAGGGAAACAACCCAGACCGCCAGCUAAGGUCCCGAAUUUCGAGCUAAGUUAUAAAGGAAGUCCGAUUGCUGUGACAAUCAGGAUGUUGGCUUAGAAGCAGCCACCAUUUAAAAAGUGCGUAAUAGCUUACUGAUCGAGCAGUUGGGCGCCGAUAAUGACCGGGAAUAAGCCGAGAACCGAAGCUGCGGAUGUCGUAAGACGUGGUAGGAGAGCGUAGCAGUCAGCGCCGAAGCGGUACGGUAACGAGCCGUGGAGCGGCUGCUAGCGAUUAUGCCGGUAUGAGUAACGAUAAAGCAGGUGAGAAUCCUGCUCGCCGAAAACCUAAGGUUUCCUGGGGAAGGUACAUCCGCCCAGGGUUAGUCGGCCCCUUAGUCCAGGCCGAAAGGCGUAGACGAUGGGCAGCAGGUUAAUAUUCCUGCACCCUGUUGUCGGACGAAGGAAGUGACGCAUCUUUUCAGGUCAUCCCGUGAGUAGUCGUGCGGGUUCCGCAAGGACCAGGCCAAUUUAAGAUGCCGAAGUGACCCUCCAAGGUGCCAAGAAACAGCUUCCGUAGGUUGAAGACAGCAGGCCCGUACUAAAACUGACACAGGUAGGUGAGGAGAAUAUCCUCAGGCGCUCGAGAAAACUGUCCUUAAGGAACUAGGCAAUUUGACCCCGUAAGUUCGCGAAAAGGGGUCCCUCCAGAUGCCUUUAUAACCAUAUUGGCAUGCUGAGGGCGCAGUGAAGUGGCUCUGGCGACUGUUUAUCAAAAACACAGUUCUCUGCUAACACGCAAAGUGGAUGUAUAGAGAAUGACGCCUGCUCGGUGCCGGAAGGUUAAGGGGAUGGGUCAGCUCCUUCGGGGGCGAAGCUCCUAACUGAAGCCCCGGUAAACGGCGGCCGUAACUAUGACGGUCCUAAGGUAGCGAAGUUCCUUGUCGGGUAAGUUCCGACGUGCAUGAACGGCGUAACGACUGGAGCACUGUCUCAAGGACGGACUCGGUGAAAUUGUAGUUGUGGUGAAGAUACCACGUACCCGCGGCAAGACGGGAAGACCCCGUGAACCUUUACUGUAGCCUGGUAUUGACGCCUGGCAUAUCUUGCGUAGGAUAGGUGGGAGGC